rnacentral:rRNA from 1 species
UACGUAGGGGGCAAGCGUUGUCCGGAUUUAUUGGGCGUAAAGAGCGUGUAGGCGGCCAAACAGGUCAGCUGUGAAAACUCGAGGCUCAACCUCGAGACGUCGGUUGAAACCGUUUGGCUAGAGUCCGGAAGAGGAGAGUGGAAUUCCCGGUGUAGCGGUGAAAUGCGCAGAUAUCGGGAAGAACACCCGUGGCGAAGGCGGCUCUCUGGGACGGUACUGACGCUGAGACGGCGAAAAGCGUGGGGAGCCGAACAGG